rnacentral:rRNA from 1 species
AUGCCCUUACACCUGCGAACUCAUAUUAAGCUCCAGAAUAAAUACUACGACCCCUUCCGAGUGAUUGCUAAAGUGGGCAAUGUUGCAUACAAGUUGCUCUUCCUUGAUAAUGUGGGCAUCCACCCAGAUUUCCAUGUCAGCCAGUUAAAAAAACACCUGGGCCCUAAGGCAGUUCCUUGCUCUGACCUACCAUUGAUUGGACCUAAUGGCCGUAUCCACAGGAAACCAGCUCUUAUGCUGAAAACCAGGCAAAUACCUCACAACAAUCUUCCAGUCAUUUAAUGGCUUGUUUAGUGGGUGAAUUUACCACCUGAUGAUGCAUCCUGGGAGGACGUCAAUUUCAUCAAGAAUACUUUUCUAGCAUUCUUCAAACAGAAGGUGCAGGGUUGGUUUAACCAUCCAGCUCCUUGA